rnacentral:tRNA from 1 species
GGCCUGGUAGCUGAACGGUAAAGCGCUUGGUUUCCGAACCGGGGGUCCCGGGUUCGAAUCCUGGUGAAGACU